rnacentral:rRNA from 1 species
UGGCUCAGAUGAACGGGGGGGGCAGGCUUAACACAUCCAAGUCGAGCGUAGCACAGGGAGCUUGUUCCUGGUGACGAGCGGCGGACGGGUGAGUAAUGUCUGGGAAACUGCUGAUGGAGGGGGAUAACUACUGGAAACGGUAGCUAAUACCGCAUAACGUCGCAAGACCAAAGAGGGGGACUUUCGGGCCUCUUGCCAUCAGAUGUGCCCAGAUGGGAUUAGCUAGUAGGUGGGGUAACGGCUCACUUAGGCGACGAUCCCUAGCUGGUCUGAGAGGAUGACCAGCCACACUGGAACUGAGACACGGUCCAGACUCCUACGGGAGGCAGCAGUGGGGAAUAUUGCACAAUGGGCGCAAGCCUGAUGCAGCCAUGCCGCGUGUAUGAAGAAGGCCUUCGGGUUGUAAAGUACUUUCAGCGGGGAGGAAGGCGUUGUGGUUAAUAACCACAGCGAUUGACGUUACCCGCAGAAGAAGCACCGGCUAACUCCGUGCCAGCAGCCGCGGUAAUACGGAGGGUGCAAGCGUUAAUCGGAAUUACUGGGCGUAAAGCGCACGCAGGCGGUCUGUCAAGUCGGAUGUGAAAUCCCCGGGCUCAACCUGGGAACUGCAUUCGAAACUGGCAGGCUAGAGUCUUGUAGAGGGGGGUAGAAUUCCAGGUGUAGCGGUGAAAUGCGUAGAGAUCUGGAGGAAUACCGGUGGCGAAGGCGGCCCCCUGGACAAAGACUGACGCUCAGGUGCGAAAGCGUGGGGAGCAAACAGGAUUAGAUACCCUGGUAGUCCACGCCGUAAACGAUGUCGACUUGGAGGUUGUGCCCUUGAGGCGUGGCUUCCGGAGCUAACGCGUUAAGUCGACCGCCUGGGGAGUACGGCCGCAAGGUUAAAACUCAAAUGAAUUGACGGGGGCCCGCACAAGCGGUGGAGCAUGUGGUUUAAUUCGAUGCAACGCGAAGAACCUUACCUACUCUUGACAUCCAGAGAACUUUCCAGAGAUGGAUUGGUGCCUUCGGGAACUCUGAGACCAGGUG